AUCUAUGAUCUUAUUUGGGUAGCGGGGGAGUUCAACAGUUCGGGCGGACGGAUGGGGUUUUGCUCCGGGAAGUCAGCGGCGGACGGGUGAGUAACACGUGGGCAACCUGCCUGUAAGACUGGGAUAACUCCGGGAAACCGGGGCUAAUACCGGAUAACUCUUUCCCUCACAUGAGGGAAAGCUGAAAGAUGGUUUCGGCUUUCACUUACAGAUGGGCCCGCGGCGCAUUAGCUAGUUGGGGAGGUAACGGCUCACCAAGGGGACCAUGCGUAGCCGACCUGAGAGGGUGAUCGGCCACACUGGGACUGAAACACGGCCCAAACUCCUACGGGAGGCAGCAGUAGGGAAUCUUCCGCAAUGGACGAAAGUCUGACGGAGCAACGCCCCGUGAGUGAUGAAGGUUUUCGGAUCGUAAAACUCUGUUGGCAGGGAAGAACAAGUACCGGAGUAACUGCCGGUACCUUGACGGUACCUGACCAGAAAGCCACGGCUAACUACGUGCCAACAGCCGCGGUAAUACGUAGGUGGCAAGCGUUGUCCGGAAUUAUUGGGCGUAAAGCGCGCGCAGGCGGUUCCUUAAGUCUGAUGUGAAAGCCCCCGGCUCAACCGGGGAGGGUCAUUGGAAACUGGGGAACUUGAAUGCAAAAAAGAAGAGUGGAAUUCCCCGUGUAGCGGUGAAAUGCGGUAGAGAUGUGGAGGAACACCAGUGGCGAAGGCGACUUCUUUGGUCUGUAACUGACGCUGAGGCGCGAAAGCGUGGGAAGCAAACAGGAUUAGAUACCCUGGGUAGUCACCCCCGUUAACGAUUGAGUGCUAGUGUUAGAGGGGUUUCCGCCCUUUAGGGCUUGCACAAACCCUUUAACACUUCCCCCUGGGGGAGUACGGCCGCAAGGCUAAAAUUAAAAGGAAUUGACCGGGGCCCCCCCCAAGCGGGUGAAACUUGUGGUUUUAUCCAAACAACCCAAAAAACUUACCCAGGCUGGACUUCCCCUGAAAACCCUAAAAAUUGGGCGUUCCCCUUAGGGGACAGGGGGACGGGGGGGCUUGGUUUGUCCCCCCCCCUGUGUGGAAUUUUGGGUUAAGCCCCCACACAACCCCACCCUUUUAUUUUAUUUUCCCGCUUUCAUUUGGCACUCUAAGGGGAUGCCCGGGAAAAACCGGAGGAGAGGGGGGAAUACUCAAAUCUCUCGGCCCCUUUAAACUGGGCUACACGUGGUUAAAAGGGGAGGACAAGGGCUGCCAAACCGCGAGUUAAACAAUCCCUAAAACACUCCCAGGGCGGAUUUGGCGUUUCACUCCCCGGAUGAGACCCGAAUACCUUUAAAUACCGGAUACAUGGCCCGUGGAAUCUUUCCCGGCCCUGUUCACCACCCCCCCGUAACCCAAAAAAUUUUGAAAACCCGGACGGUGGUGGGGUACCCCUUUUCGGACCCCGCCCCUAAGGGGGGGGAAAAAGUAUGGGGGGAAAACUAUACCGAAGAAAAAAUAAAAACAAA
rnacentral:rRNA from 6 species